rnacentral:rRNA from 1 species
CGCGUAGGCGGAAAAAUAAGUCUGUUGUUAAAAUGCGGGGCUUAACCCCGUAGUGCAAUGGAAACUGUUUUUCUUGAGUGCAGGAGAGGAAAGGGGAAUUCCCAGUGUAGCGGUGAAAUGCGUAGAUAUUGGGAGGAACACCAGUGGCGAAGGCGCCUUUCUGGACUGUGUCUGACGCUGAGGCGCGAAAGCCAGGGGAGCGAACG